rnacentral:piRNA from 1 species
UUUUGUACAUAAUUACUUGGCCUAGCUC